rnacentral:rRNA from 1 species
UGGGGAAUUUUGGACAAUGGGCGAAAGCCUGAUCCAGCAAUGCCGCGUGUGUGAAGAAGGCCUUCGGGUUGUAAAGCACUUUUGUCCGGAAAGAAAUCCUUGGCUCUAAUACAGUCGGGGGAUGACGGUACCGGAAGAAUAAGCACCGGCUAACUACGUGCCAGCAGCCGCGGUAAUACGUAGGGUGCAAGCGUUAAUCGGAAUUACUGGGCGUAAAGCGUGCGCAGGCGGUUUGCUAAGACCGAUGUGAAAUCCCCGGGCUCAACCUGGGAACUGCAUUGGUGACUGGCAGGCUAGAGUAUGGCAGAGGGGGGUAGAAUUCCACGUGUAGCAGUGAAAUGCGUAGAGAUGUGGAGGAAUACCGAUGGCGAAGGCGACGCCCCUGGGCCAAUACUGACGCUCAUGCACGAAAGCGUGGGGAGCAAACAGGAUUAGAUACCCCUGGUAGUCCACGCCCUAAACGAUGUCAACUAGUUGUUGGGGGAUUCAUUUUCCUUAGUAACGUAGCUAACGCGUGAAGUUGACCGCCUGGGGGAGUACGGUCGCAAGA